GGGCUACUGUCUUGUAAUUGGAAUGAUGGCGACCCAAACCCUCGCCAGAGUACCAAUUGGAGGGCAAGUCUGGUGCCAGCAGCCGCGGUAAUUCCAGCUCCAAUAGCGUAUAUUAAACUUGUUGCAGUUAAAAAGCUCGUAGUUGAACUUCGGCCUUGCGCGUCCUGCGGGUCUGCGCGCGGCCUUUGCGUUACUUUGAGAAAAUUAGAGUGUUUCAAGCAGGCUUUCGCCGUGAAUACUUGAGCAUGGAAUAACUGGGCAGGACCUUGGUUCUUCUUUGUUGGUUUUGUACCUGGGUAAUGGUUAAUAGGAACGGUUGGGGGCAUUCGUAUUUAACUGUCAGAGGUGAAAUU
rnacentral:rRNA from 1 species